UACGUAGGGUGCAAGCGUUAUCCGGAAUUAUUGGGCGUAAAGAGCUCGUAGGCGGUUUGUCGCGUCUGCUGUGAAAACUGGAGGCUCAGCCUCCAGCCUGCAGUGGGUACGGGCAGACUAGAGUGCGGUAGGGGAGAUUGGAAUUCCUGGUGUAGCGGUGGAAUGCGCAGAUAUCAGGAGGAACACCGAUGGCGAAGGCAGAUCUCUGGGCCGUAACUGACGCUGAGGAGCGAAAGCAUGGGGAGCGAACAGG
rnacentral:rRNA from 1 species